UCCACUCUUUAGCACCAUUCUAGACUUACUGAUUGUAGAUAGUACUAAAGAUACUAAAGUAGACCAACCUGUCAGCUAUGACAACACUUUUUAUGAUUGUCUGGUAGAACCAAAGCUGAUUUCCAACCUAACCUGACAUCUUUUGCUUGUCUUGGGGCUUGGUAAUACAAAGGAUCGGAAUCCUCCUGCAAGUCUGGAAGGUAAAAGUCUGUACACUUUUGGUUCCCUUCCUUCUCUCUCUUUGGCAUCUCAAAGAUCAAAGUAUAAAGAAAAGAUUGAAAUGAUUUCCUGGAAGAGGCAGAGGGGUAGGAGUGUCUCCUAUGACCCCAUUAUUCUAAGUCUGAAGGGAAUGAUCACACAUUGUGGAAAGGAGGCGGUAGGAGUGUCUCCAGUGACCCCAUUAUUCGCUACACAUUGUCAAAAAAAGAAUAUAAAAAAAAAAUCAUCAUGUCAAUGAGAUGUACAAAGAUUAGCCUGAGUGGCAUC
rnacentral:lncRNA from 1 species